UCCUAUGGAAGGUAUUCCACACCCAUAUAAUAUACCCUUCUGCUCUAAGGAUACCCUGUAACAAAGCUUCUGCCGCUUAUUUGCCAGCAAUUAAGUGCGCCGAAAGAGAUGCAGAUACGAUACUCAUUUCAAAUGGCGCCAUCGGAGUAUCUGUGGCUCUGUGUGUGUGUGGUUAUCACUGUCUCAGUGUGUGUGUGUGUAUGCCUCUUAAUUAGAAACUUGUACAUUUUGCCUAAUUUGACAAAUUGUUUUAAUGCAGUGUGCAAACUUUUCGGCUACAUUGCGACACAAAUUAGUUUUUGGGCGGCGGCGAACAUAAAUUGGGUCGAGUCGGGCCCAAACGGACAACUUGCAGAAGGAAUAAAACCAAUCAAAGGCGGUUUCAGCCAGCAGUUUGAUGAGCCACCGCAAAGCUAUGCAACAUACUCGUAUAUGCACUAUCCAUGCAUCCCAGGGAUUAUUAUGAAGCCAUUAUUCUUCUCCUGCCACCGCCUGUGCCUGCUCAACACUUAAUUGUUUCUGCUGUUGACGUUGGCCUGGCGUGGCAGCUCUGUGGCAACUUCCUGUGGGGCAAGUUGGUAUAUUUUUGGCAGCUAAUUAGCGCCCGUGGCAGCCACAGUCUCCAGUGUUUGCAGGACAGCCCUAAGAGUGGGUGGUAAACACCAAAGCAGCGGUCUUCAAAUCACCUGACACAAAUGCGCUUUGCAGUUCCCAUAAUCCCCUUGGAAGCGAAAUGAUAUAGUAGCGAAAUUCUCAUACAAUUGCUGCAGUUUUCGAAAAGUACCUGCUUCAUAGACGCACAUAAUGGCCCCCAUUUUAGGACGCGUGCAUUCAUCAUCAAACGGCCGGAUUUUCUGCGCCGUGCCGUGGCAAAAUAAACAAGUGUUUUGUGUGCAUUUUUCGAAUGCAUUGCGUUUGCCGAAAUUUACUUUAUGGGAUUUUGUUUACACUCAGAAUCGGUACUCAGAAUCGAACAGAUUGGCCAAAAUGAUUACAUGGUAUAAGUAAAUAAUAAAUAAUUAAAAUACAAAUUGAAACAGAACAAAAAAA